AGAGUUUGAUCCUGGCUCAGAUUGAACGCUGGCGGCAGGCCUAACACAUGCAAGUCGAACGAGAAGCUUCCUUCGGGAAGUGGAGAGUGGCGCACGGGUGAGUAACGCGUGGGAAUUUGCCUCCUGGUACGGGAUAACGUCUGGAAACGGACGCUAAUACCGUAUGUGGUCUACGGACCAAAGAUUUAUCGCCAGGAGAGGAGCCCGCGUAGGAUUAGGUAGUUGGUGUGGUAACGGCGCACCAAGCCGACGAUCUUUAGCUGGUCUGAGAGGACGAUCAGCCACACUGGAACUGAGACACGGUCCAGACUCCUACGGGAGGCAGCAGUGGGGAAUAUUGGACAAUGGGGGCAACCCUGAUCCAGCCAUGCCGCGUGAGUGAAGAAGGCCUUAGGGUUGUAAAGCUCUUUCGCUAGGGAAGAUAAUGACGGUACCUAGUAAAGAAGUCCCGGCUAACUCCGUGCCAGCAACCGCGGUAAUACGGAGGGGACUAGCGUUGUUCGGAAUUACUGGGCGUAAAGAGUACGUAGGCGGCUUGUCAAGUUGGGUGUGAAAGCCCGGGGCUCAACCCCGGAACUGCAUUCAAAACUGGCUGGCUAGAGAUCGGAAGAGGUAAGUGGAAUUCCCAGUGUAGAGGUGAAAUUCGUAGAUAUUGGGAAGAACACCGGUGGCGAAGGCGGCUUACUGGUCCGAGACUGACGCUGAGGUACGAAAGCGUGGGGAGCAAACAGGAUUAGAUACCCUGGUAGUCCACGCCGUAAACGAUGAAUGCUAGUUGUUGGGAGGUUUACCUUUCAGUGACGCAGCUAACGCAUUAAGCAUUCCGCCUGGGGAGUACGGUCGCAAGAUUAAAACUCAAAGGAAUUGACGG
rnacentral:rRNA from 1 species